rnacentral:rRNA from 1 species
ACACGACUACAUUAGAUACCCGCGUAGUCCCAGCCCUAAACGAUGCGCGUUAGGUGUAUCGGUGACCACGAGUCACCGAGGUGCCGAAGGGAAACCGUGAAACGUGCCGCCUGGGAAGUACGGUCGCAAGGCUGAAACUUAAAGGAAUUGGCGGGGAGCACCACAACGGGUGGAGCCUGCGGUUUAAUUGGACUCAACGCCGGGAAGCUCACCGGAUAAGACAGCGGAAUGAUUGCCGGGCUGAAGACCCUGCAUGACCAGCUG